ensembl:lncRNA
CUCCACUGCAUUGGAUGUGGCAGGAGCCCUAGCUCAAGCUAGAAAUAAAACCCCUUCAUGCUUUUGCAUUGCUGUGGACGUCUUAUUCUCUCAGUUUUGGGGACUCGGACUCUGGGCAUAACAUUUGGGGGCUCGUCCGGGAUCCCUUUAACUGGGAAGAAUAACACUCUCCCAGUAGAAGGGCUUUCCUUACUAGGAAGAGAGAUAUCUGAACACCAGUGUUAGUUCUGGUUAAGACCAGUGUAAGGCCAAGGCCCGGCAUCGUGCUAGGGAGGUGGCUGGCUCUGUUCUUUGGUUAAGACCAGCGUAAGGCCGAGGUCUGGCAUCGUGCUGGGGAGGCGGCUGGCUCUGUUCUCUGGUUAAGACCAGCGUAAGGCCGAGGCCUGGCACUGUGCUGGGGAGGCGGCUGGCUCUGUGGACGCCUUGUUGGGCACAAAAUCUAUCAUUAUUGGUGAAAAAACCUAGACUGACAUCCUGACCACUCGGGGUACUCAGGGGCCAGCUUGCCUGCCAAUGGACCAGACCCAGAGGCCACAACCAGGACCCUUUUGUCCCUGGUCUCCUUUUGACGUGGACAACUGGCCAGAGUGCCCUGACUGGGCUUCCCUGGUGGAGCUGAGGUUAAAGCGUCUGCUUGCAGUAUGGGAGACUUGGGUUUGAUCCCUGGGUCGAGAAGAUCCCCUGGAAAAGGAAAUUUUGCUUUGUCUGGCAACCAUGUGGUUUAGACCUGCUGCCAUUUUGUUAGAACUUGAUUUUCUUUCCCUGUGCCUUGAGACCAGGGCUCUCAGGAACACUUAUCUGACACUAAGGAAAAAGGAAAAAAAAGACUUGAAGCUAGAUCUUGCACUGUGUCUGUCUAAAUAUGUCUUGGUAAUAUUUUUGUAUAUGAGCUCUGUUUAUUUGGCUUAAAAAAGGUAAGCGCUUACAAA